GGCCAUUUAGCUCAGUUGGUUAGAGCGUGGUGCUAAUAACGCCAAGAUCACAGGUUUGAUCCCUGUACUGGCCA